GGGGAUGUUUUGGGAUUCGACAGGCGUAGAUUCGCGUUGACUGCGAUUCGUAGGUCACGUCUACGUUAAAAACGUCACAGUUAAAUUAUAACUGCAAAUAACGAAAAUUCUUACGCAGUAGCUGCUUAGUCAGCCUGCGUGAUCCAAAGAUGGAUUGCUCGUGUCUAUCUACGGGUCUUACCAUUUAACGAGCUACGUUUAACUACUUACCUUAAUAGUUAGAAAUAAGAUUCUUAGGUUAGUUUUGAUAGUUUAGCCCUGUUAUAUGGCGUUUUAUCAAAGCGAAUUUUAAGUAAUAUAACUAUGAUCGUAGAUGUUAACGACGAAAUACGUUUGGACAGGGGUUCAAUUCCCCUCAUCUCCAUAG
rfam:Lactobacillus johnsonii NCC 533, complete genome.